GUGGGGAAUCUUGCGCAAUGGGCGAAAGCCUGACGCAGCCAUGCCGCGUGUAUGAUGAAGGUCUUAGGAUUGUAAAAUUCUUUCACCGGGGACGAUAAUGACGGUACCCGGAGAAGAAGCCCCGGCUAACUUCGUGCCAGCAGCCGCGGUAAUACGAAGGGGGCUAGCGUUGCUCGGAAUUACUGGGCGUAAAGGGCGCGUAGGCGGACAGUUUAGUCAGAGGUGAAAGCCCAGGGCUCAACCUUGGAAUUGCCUUUGAUACUGGCUGUCUUGAGUACGGGAGAGGUGAGUGGAACUCCGAGUGUAGAGGUGAAAUUCGUAGAUAUUCGGAAGAACACCAGUGGCGAAGGCGACUCACUGGCCCGUUACUGACGCUGAGGCGCGAAAGCGUGGGAGCAAACAGGAUUAGAAACCCCGGUAGUCC
rnacentral:rRNA from 1 species